CAGUAGCCGCGGUAAUACAGAGGGUGCGAGCGUUAAUCGGAUUUACUGGGCGUAAAGCGUGCGUAGGCGGCUUCUUAAGUCGGAUGUGAAAUCCCUGAGCUUAACUUAGGAAUUGCAUUCGAUACUGAGAAGCUAGAGUAUGGGAGAGGAUGGUAGAAUUCCAGGUGUAGCGGUGAAAUGCGUAGAGAUCUGGAGGAAUACCGAUGGCGAAGGCAGCCAUCUGGCCUAAUACUGACGCUGAGGUACGAAAGCAUGGGGAGCAAACAGGAUUAGAUACCCCCGUAGUCCCUGUCUCUUAUAA
rnacentral:rRNA from 1 species